UUAGUGUUUAGUUGGUUUUUUUUUAAUUGGUAAUUAAAAUUAUUGUGUUCGGUAGUUAUAUUUUGUAAAUAUUUGAGUUUGAUUAGACUUGAUGUUAGCGGGAAAGCUCUAAACUUGCAGAAAGUCCCAAAAAAAAUUCCAAAUGCUCUUGUAUUAUGAAAUUUGUUUAUUGCAUUUUGUACUGUAUUAUAGUUUGUUACUAUUUUUAUUUAAAGUGAAUUAUUUGUGUUUAUAAAAACAUAAAAUAUUAUCUUAUAUUAUAAAUUAUAAUAUGCUAGUACGGGGCUUCGCCCGGCGAAAAUAUGAAUCCCUUUAUUCCCUAUCCUGUGGGAAUUCCAAAAAAUCCGGCCUUAUUUCUUGUCUACAAAAUUUUGGCUUUCUAGCCCUAAAGGUUUGGGCUGGGCCAGUCAAUGAAUCUGGACUUAUUUUAAUUAUUUAGAUGUACAACAUUUCGACUGUUCCUCUAUGCUGUAAUAUUAAUAAUUUCAUUUUAAAUAUUGUUUUUCAUAGACUAGAAGGUAAGUAUUGAAUAUUUUAUAUACCAAAACGAAUAUAAUUAGCGUAGUUUAUAUAAUUAGUAGAUUUAUUAAGUUAGAGAUAGAUAUAUUUUAGAUUAAACAUUUCACACAAAACAAAUCAGUAACUAGGUGAUGCCUGCGACUUCGUCCACGUGGAUUAAGGCUGU